AUUGAACGCUGGCGGCAUGCUUUACACAUGCAAGUCGAACGGUAACAGGGAGCUUGCUCCGCUGACGAGUGGCGAACGGGUGAGUAAUGCGUCGGAACGUGCCGAGUAGUGGGGGAUAACGCAGCGAAAGUUGUGCUAAUACCGCAUACGUACUGAGGUAGAAAGUGGGGGACCUUCGGGCCUCACGCUAUUCGAGCGGCCGACGUCUGAUUAGCUAGUAGGUGAGGUAAAGGCUCACCUAGGCGACGAUCAGUAGCGGGUCUGAGAGGAUGAUCCGCCACACUGGGACUGAGACACGGCCCAGACUCCUACGGGAGGCAGCAGUGGGGAAUUUUGGACAAUGGGCGAAAGCCUGAUCCAGCCAUGCCGCGUGUCUGAAGAAGGCCUUCGGGUUGUAAAGGACUUUUGUCGGGGAGGAAAUCCCCAGCGUUAAUACCGCUGGGGGAUGACAGUACCUGAAGAAUAAGCACCGGCUAACUACGUGCCAGCCGCCGCGGUAAGAC
rnacentral:rRNA from 1 species